rnacentral:ncRNA from 1 species
AGAUAUUUGCCACCGGGUAAAUAUCAUCGUGUCAAAAGUACUUCGUUAGGUCUUAGAAGAGGUGCUUUUGGCAUUUUUGCGUUU